rnacentral:rRNA from 1 species
GAUGAACGCUGGCGGCGUGCUUAACACAUGCAAGUCGAACGGGAAUGUUUCGCUGAUGCGAUUUCGGUCAAAUCUUGAAGCAUUUUAGUGGCGGACGGGUGAGUAACGCGUGGGUAACCUGCCCUGUACAAGGGGACAACAGUUGGAAACGACUGCUAAUACCGCAUAAGCGCACAGCUUCGCAUGAAGCAGUGUGAAAAACUCCGGUGGUACAGGAUGGACCCGCGUCUGAUUAGAUAGUUGGUGAGGUAACGGCCCACCAAGUCAACGAUCAGUAGCCGGCCUGAGAGGGCGAACGGCCACAUUGGGACUGAGACACGGCCCAAACUCCUACGGGAGGCAGCAGUGGGGAAUAUUGCACAAUGGGGGAAACCCUGAUGCAGCGACGCCGCGUGAGUGAUGAAGUAUUUCGGUAUGUAAAACUCUAUCAGCAGGGAAGAUAAUGACGGUACCUGACUAAGAAGCACCGGCUAAAUACGUGCCAGCAGCCG